rnacentral:rRNA from 1 species
UGGGGAAUCUUGCGCAAUGGGGGAAACCCUGACGCAGCGACGCCGCGUGCGGGAUGAAGGCCUUCGGGUUGUAAACCGCUUUCAGCAGGGACGAGGCCUACAAGGUGACGGUACCUGCAGAAGAAGCUCCGGCUAAAUACGUGCCAGCAGCCGCGGUAAUACGUAUGGAGCAAGCGUUAUCCGGAUUCAUUGGGCGUAAAGCGCUCGUAGGCGGUCUGUUAGGUCGGUAAGUUAAAUCCGGGGGCUCAACCCCCGUCCGCUUCCGAUACCGGCAGACUUGAGUUUGGUAGGGGAAGGUGGAAUUCCUAGUGUAGCGGUGGAAUGCGCAGAUAUUAGGAAGAACACCGGUGGCGAAGGCGGCCUUCUGGGCCAUAACUGACGCUGAGGAGCGAAAGCUAGGGGAGCGAACAGG